CGCGUAGGUGGUAAUCCAAGUCAUAUGUGAAAUUCCAAGGCUUAACCUUGGAGCUGCAAAUGAAACUGGAUAACUAGAGGUAAGGCGGAGAAAACGGAAUUUCCCGUGUAGCGGUGAAAUGCGUGGAUAUGGGAAGGAACACCGGAGGCGAAGGCGGUUUUCUAGCUUUUACCUGACACUGAGGCGCGAAAGCGAGGGGAGCAAACA
rnacentral:rRNA from 1 species